GCCCUUGGUAAGUAACUCUUGAUGGAGAAAGGAUUCUAGACUCUUAUUUAACCAAAAAACAGAGCCAGCUAAUCAUUUUUAAAGGACACUCUGGCUGCUUGGUGUAGAAUGAAUUAAAGCACAGCAAGCAAUGAGGUGGCCACUUAGCCAGUCAACAGUCCAGAUGAGAGCAGCUUGGGAUGGGAGAUGGCAUGGAGGGCAGAGCAAGAAAGAUGCAGUUCAAGAUGUGUUCUGAAGAUGUCAAGCAAAAGCUGGUAAUGGGUAUGAAUAUAGAAUGGUGAAUAAGAGAAAAAUGGUUUAAAAGAAAAAGAAAGCGUCCCGGUUUCUAAAAUAGGCAAGCUGGGAGGAGAAGCAGGCUAAGGAGAAAAAGACCAAAAAUUAAAUUACAAGAAUAAACACAGAAGCAGAAACUGAGAAAACCCAAUAAAUCUCUUUAUCUAUUAGUAAUUCUGAUGAAACAAGAAAAAGGUCAACAUAAUGACUAAAAUGAAGGAAAUAUAACAUGGAGAAAAUUCUGACCUGAAUACGUUGCUGGAAAAUGUCUCCAGUUCCAGAGGAAAUUCUACUAAAAGCGUCGGUCAUGCUAUUGGAGUUUGAUGUAUCUGGAACGAAGAACUUUAAACCUCCUGAAAUACAUGUGUUUUGGGGAAAUGGGAGCUGUGCUUGACUUGCUUUGCCUAACAUUCUGUACAACCACAUGGACCACUCUGGCUGCUGAGUUGAAAGUCGAUGGGAGGAGGUCGCAAGUGAAGUGGGGGCCAGCUGGAGGGUGUAACUACAAUGCCAGUGAGGAACGGAGGAAAAGCUCAGACAACAGGUUGGGUUGUCUUCUUCCUCCAACUUUCUUGGAAUUUCCUUUCCCCUCCCUAUUGAAUAUUGUUGCUGUGUGGGUGAAAUAAAAGUUUUUCAGCUUAUAGGCUUAUUAAAGGGAAGAAUCAUACUUCUUUGCCUGCCCAGAUGGCCUUAACAUAAUGCUGACUGCAAGAGAAAAAAUGAGAAACAAUGGCAAAAAUAACCUGAGACCCAUAGUCAUUGGUGGUCAAAUGACAUAAAAGUGUAGUCCAAGUUUAAGCUUAUAAGACUGUGGUUCUUAAUGCUUCAUCUAUAAAUGCUUCAUAAAUGGUAGCUAAUUCUACAGUAAUUAUUAAUUAGUAUAAUUAUCAGUAUUGUCAGCUGGAGUUCUUCUGCUACUCAGUGACGUAGGUAUAAUUGGCCUUUACUUUUGUCAAUUUCAUGGCCUGUGAAAGACCAAGCCCCUCCUAAAUUUCUGCGACUACCCUGGAUGCUUGACUUCUCAAAACUUUUGCUUCCCAGAUCCAUACCUGUUGCUUCACUACAGUGUCUUAAAUGUAGUCUUUGGAAUUUCUUAAAGAAACAUGGGUAUAUUGUGUUUGUAGCAAUUUAGACUUUAUUAAAGAGUUCAUGGGGGAACUAGAGAGGUAUUUAUGUUGCAGAAAAAAAAAAUAAAACUUUAGCAUUAAGUGAAAACGGCAACAUUCUUAUAAGAGAAAUGGCUGAGCUUUAGUCAGGAAUAAGCCAAGGUGGACUUCUGGUGCAGCGUGACUCAGUGGGUUUGGAACGCAGGUGCAUAACCCUGUGGGUUAUGUAACCACAUCACAUGAGGCACAAUGGGUGAUCACCCACAUGAGCUUGUGCUUGGCUUGGAGCCACUAAUGUCCAUCAAAAGUAUAGUUACCUUGCUAAUGCUAUACAUACAGCUCAGUUGCAUCCAGAGAGAGAAUAAAGCCAUGUCAAAGCCGUCUAUGAUUCCUUGAAUAUUUUUCCAGCUACCCACCACUUGCCCACCGACUCCCCUCAGACCUCAGUUAGAACCUGACAAUUGGCAUUAUGAACAGGAUCUUGAGAUGAGUGAGCCUUUGGUCCCCACUGAUUCCAGGUCAGCCAUGUAGCUGCAACAUAGGUUGUGGUACCCCGUGGCAACUGUGCUGCUUGGAUGGGCUUCAGUGGAAACCUGGGCGGCAGUGAUUAGGUCCCCCAUGAGCAUGGAGAAGGCACUGAAGCAGCUGGAAGUGCAGAGCACCGUGAAGGAACAAGCCUUUGCUGGCAGAGUUGGUUAGGCAUUUUUGACUGCACUGCGAGAAGUACACACCCAAUCCCUGAGGGAUGCAGUGCAGGUAAGGCCCCUCCAGGUUCAGACAGGGCACCUGGAGGCCUGGCUACACAGCUCAGAAAAAGAGUUAGAAGCUGCUGUGAAUGGGGACCUCCAGGUGUAGGCAGGACACCUGGAUGCCUGGCUACAGAGCUUGGAAAAGGAAUUAGAAGCUGACAUGGGCCAGGCACAGUGAUUCAUGCCUGUAGUCCCGGCACUUUGGGAGGUUGGGUGGGUGGAUCA